AAUAGAUACCCGGGUAGUCCACGCCGUAAACGAUGAGUGCUAAGUGUUAGAGGGGUUUCCGCCCUUUAGUGCUGCAGCUAACGCAUUAAGCACUCCGCCUGGGGAGUACGGUCGCAAGACUGAAACUCAAAGGAAUUGACGGGGGCCCGCACAAGCGGUGGAGCAUGUGGUUUAAUUCGAAGCAACGCGAAGAACCUUACCAGGUCUUGACAUCCCACUGACCGGUAUAGAGAUAUACCUUUCCCUUCGGGGACAGUGGUGACAGGUGGUGCAUGGUUGUCGUCAGCUCGUGUCGUGAGAUGUUGGGUUAAGUCCCGCAACGAGCGCAACCCUUGAUCUUAGUUGCCAGCAUUUAGUUGGGCACUCUAAGGUGACUGCCGGUGACAAACCGGAGGAAGGUGGGGAUGACGUCAAAUCAUCAUGCCCCUUAUGACCUGGGCUACACACGUGCUACAAUGGAUGGUACAAAGGGCUGCAAGACUGCGAAGUCAAGCCAAUCCCAUAAAACCAUUCUCAGUUCGGAUUGCAGG
rnacentral:rRNA from 1 species